UAAUUGUAGAAAUCACCCAUUUAAAGAGAAAUGCGCGGACUUCCAAACCCCAUACUGCUUUACUUUUUCCAAACCCCAUGCUGUUUUACUUUACUAUUUAAAACCUGCUUUAAAAUUUGUGUUUUAAAGAAAACUUUUUUAACUUUUAUUUAAAAAAAACCCUAAAUGCCUUGGACAUUAUCUCAUCUCCCUCACUCUCCCUUUCUUCUCCAGCCGAAAGGCUCAUUUCAAGCCCCCAACCAUUUUCAAAAUCUGAUCGUGACCAACGGAGCAAGGCCCACCGACGGCGUGAAUGCGAUAUAACUCCGGUCAUGAAGACGUGAAGGAGGGCAACAUGGUAUGUGGGUGCUAACGUGGAGUAGGGCGCGCGCGUAUGGAGGAGGUGAUCGUGGCUGCGGCGCAAAGAAGGCUUCUAGUGCUUAGGGUUUGCUGAAAAGUGUUUUAGGUUUGGGGUAUUUUGGGGCUGUUUGGGUUAAUUGUUUUUGUAAUUUUGGGUUUUCUUAUGUGGAAUUAUUUGGGUUUUAUUUAUUGGGCUGGAAUUAGGUAGCCCGGGCUAAAAUUGGGUAUUACAAAUAUAAUGGUGCAUAAAUUUACACACCAAUGUUUUUAGUUUUCUUUUUUUUGGAAUAUUUAUAAUGAUUUUUUAAUCGUUUGACACAAUAUAA